rnacentral:rRNA from 1 species
AUUGAACGCUGGCGGCAGGCUUAACACAUGCAAGUCGAGCGGAGAUGAGGUGCUUGCACCUUAUCUUAGCGGCGGACGGGUGAGUAAUGCUUAGGAAUCUGCCUAUUAGUGGGGGACAACAUUCCGAAAGGAAUGCUAAUACCGCAUACGCCCUACGGGGGAAAGCAGGGGAUCUUCGGACCUUGCGCUAAUAGAUGAGCCUAAGUCGGAUUAGCUAGUUGGCGGGGUAAAGGCCUACCAAGGCGACGAUCUGUAGCGGGUCUGAGAGGAUGAUCCGCUACACUGGGACUGAGACACGGCCCAGACUCCUACGGGAGGCAGCAGUGGGGAAUAUUGGACAAUGGGCGGAAGCCUGAUCCAGCCAUGCCGCGUGUGUGAAGAAGGCCUUUUGGUUGUAAAGCACUUUAAGCGAGGAGGAGGCUACCUGGAUUAAUACUCUAGGAUAGUGGACGUUACUCGCAGAAUAAGCACCGGCUAACUCUGUGCCAGCAGCCGCCGUAAGAC